AUUGAACGCUGGCGGCAGGCCUAACACAUGCAAGUCGAGCGGUAGAGAGGUGCUUGCACCUCUUGAGAGCGGCGGACGGGUGAGUAAUGCCUAGGAAUCUGCCUGGUAGUGGGGGAUAACGCUCGGAAACGGACGCUAAUACCGCAUACGUCCUACGGGAGAAAGCAGGGGACCUUCGGGCCUUGCGCUAUCAGAUGAGCCUAGGUCGGAUUAGCUAGUUGGUGAGGUAAUGGCUCACAAAGGCGACGAUCCGUAACUGGUCUGAGAGGAUGAUCAGUCACACGGGAACUGGGACACGGUCCAGACUCCUACGGGAGGCAGCAGUGGGGAAUAUUGGACAAUGGGCGAAAGCCUGAUCCAGCCAUGCCGCGUGUGUGAAGAAGGUCUUCGGAUUGUAAAGCACUUUAAGUUGGGAGGAAGGGUCGUUACCUAAUACGUGACGAUUUUGACGUUACCGACAGAAUAAGCACCGGCUAACUCUGUGCCAGCCGCCGCCGUAAAAC
rnacentral:rRNA from 1 species